AAAAUGGCGGCCAGGAAGCGUUUUUAUGAAUGAUAACCACAAUGUUUGCUGUUUUAUAAGCAAAAUAUGAUAUGUCAAGGGAUGCCUUAUCAGCCCGUGGAUACAUAAGCUGAGGACCACUGCCACCAGCUGUUGGUCACACCAUCACCACCACCCACAACAGAGAACUGGGCACAGAGUACACAGUCACAAAUGUAGUGUCUUUAGGCUAAGCCAGGAGAGACACCAUCACCACCACCCACAACAGAGAACUGGGCACAGAGUACACAGUCGCUAAUGUAGUGUCUGGAGGCUAAGCCAGGAGAGACACCAUCACCACCACCCACAACAGAGAACUGGGCACAGAGUACACAGUCACUAAUGUAGUGUCUGGAGGCUAAGCCAGGAGAGACACCAUCACCACCACCCACAACAGAGAACUGGGCACAGAGUACACAGUCACUAAUGUAGUGUCUGGAGGCUAAGCCAGGAGAGACACACAAACACACCCAGACACAUCGAUGUUCCGGUCUGCCUGGUGUCCACGGCCACGCCAAGCCAGGGCAAUGGUUGGGUUCGUCUGUUAGAGUCUUAGGGUCAGGGAACCAG